rnacentral:rRNA from 1 species
AUUGAACGCUGGCGGCAUGCUUUACACAUGCAAGUCGAACGGCAGCGCGGGCUUCGGCCUGGCGGCGAGUGGCGAACGGGUGAGUAAUGCAUCGGAACGUGCCCAGUAGUGGGGGAUAGCCCGGCGAAAGCCGGAUUAAUACCGCAUACGACCUGAGGGUGAAAGCGGGGGACCGAAAGGCCUCGCGCUAUUGGAGCGGCCGAUGUCGGGUUAGCUAGUUGGUGGGGUAAAGGCUUACCAAGGCGACGAUCCGUAGCUGGUCUGAGAGGACGACCAGCCACACUGGGACUGAGACACGGCCCAGACUCCUACGGGAGGCAGCAGUGGGGAAUUUUGGACAAUGGGGGCAACCCUGAUCCAGCCAUGCCGCGUGCGGGAAGAAGGCCUUCGGGUUGUAAACCGCUUUUGUUCGGGAAGAAAUCCUCUGGGCUAAUACCCCGGGGGGAUGACGGUACCGGAAGAAUAAGCACCGGCUAACUACGUG